rnacentral:rRNA from 1 species
UGGGGAAUAUUGGACAAUGGGCGCAAGCCUGAUCCAGCCAUACCGCGUGGGUGAAGAAGGCCUUCGGGUUGUAAAGCCCUUUUGUUGGGAAAGAAAAGCAGCUGGUUAAUACCCGGUUGUUCUGACGGUACCCAAAGAAUAAGCACCGGCUAACUUCGUGCCAGCAGCCGCGGUAAUACGAAGGGUGCAAGCGUUACUCGGAAUUACUGGGCGUAAAGCGUGCGUAGGUGGUUGUUUAAGUCUGUCGUGAAAGCCCUGGGCUCAACCUGGGAAUUGAGAUGGAAACGGGGCGACUAGAGUGUGGCAGAGGAGAGUGGAAUUCCUGGUGUAGCAGUGAAAUGCGUAGAGAUCAGGAGGAACAUCCGUGGCGAAGGCGACUGUCUGGGCCAACACUGACACUGAGGCACGAAAGCGUGGGGAGCAAACAGG